UCCCUGGUGGCUCAGAGGUUAAAGCAUCUGCCUGCAAUGCGGGAGACCUGGGUUCGAUCCCUGGAUUGGGAA
rnacentral:tRNA from 1 species